rnacentral:misc_RNA from 1 species
GAUGAAGAACGUAGCGAAAUGCGAUAAGUAAUGUGAAUUGCAGAAUUCAGUGAAUCAUCGAAUCUUUGAACGCACCUUGCGCUCCUUGGUAUUCCGAGGAGCAUGCCUGUUUGAGUGUCAUGAAUUUCUCAACCUGUCUGUCUUUUAUAAAGAUUAUACAGGCUUGGAUUUGGAGGUUGCUGGCUUCUCAGAAACCGGCUCUUCUUAAAUAUAUUAGCAGAACCAUUGCUGAUUAUUCUUGGUAUGAUAACUAUCUAUACCACGGAGAAUCGGUUUCCUUCAUUGGAGGGUUUCGCUUCCUAACAGUCUUCUCAGACAAUUCUUGACAAUUUUGACCUCAAAUCAGGUAGGACUACCCGCUGAACUUAAGCAUAUCAAUAAGCGGAGGA